CACAGAAGCUGUGUUUCAGAGGCGGCCACAGUUGUACCUUGCCACCUUGCUGAACCUGGUAGUGUAAUAAAGAGUCACCCAGGUAGUGCUGGUUUUGAAGGCAUAAAGGGGUCAUGAAAAGCAGCUGACAUUUGUCCUUGGGAGAGGCCAUUGGUGAAGGUGCAGCCUCAGUGGCAGUUGGUGGCCCAGGAUUGAAGGAGUCAUGCAGAGAAGUUAGACUUAGCACCAUGAAGAGUCUAUGAGAAGCUAUUACUGAAGGUGCAGCCCAGUUGCAGAAGACCCCACCCAUCAUUAUGGAGAUAUCAGUACCAUGGGAUGACCACCAAGAACAGCAGCCAUUGUGGAAUGGAGUGAACCGAGCCCAGAAGACAAGCUAUGUACUACAGAGGGCAGAGCCAAAGAAGUGAACAUUAAGUCAUUCACAUGGAUGGAGUUUGGGUUUGCUUUAUUCAGAUUGUGACUGUGCCCUGGUUCUUCUUCUCUUGGAGUGAGAAAGGGCAAGGAUUUGGGGAGCUUCCAAGAUCACCAAAGCAUAGAACAUAACAGAAUAUAUAAUCAACUUGGCCAUGAGAAAGUGUCUUACUAACAGCACAUAAGGAAGUUUCCUUGGAACAUCAUAAAAUGGUCGACUGCAG
ensembl:lncRNA